CAGACCUCUGAUCAGGGAAGACUACCCG
rnacentral:rRNA from 1 species